AUUGAACGCUGGCGGUAGGCCUAACACAUGCAAGUCGAACGAGUGGCGGACGGGUGAGUAAUGUCUGGGAAACUGCCUGAUGGAGGGGGAUAACUACUGGAAACGGUAGCUAAUACCGCAUAACCUCAGAUGUGCCCAGAUGGGAUUAGCUAGUUGGUGGGGUACAGGCUCACCAAGGCGACGAUCCCUAGCUGGUCUGAGAGGAUGACCAGCCACACUGGAACUGAGACACGGUCCAGACUCCUACGGGAGGCAGCAGUGGGGAAUAUUGCACAAGGGGCGCAAGCCUGAUGCAGCCAUGCCGCGUGUAUGAAGAAGGCCUGCGGGUUGUAAAGUACUUUCAGCGGGGAGGCGUUACCCGCAGAAGAAGCACCGGCUAACUCCGUGCCAGCCGCCGCGGUAAUAC
rnacentral:rRNA from 1 species